rnacentral:SRP_RNA from 2 species
AGAUGGGAUCAAGGCAAACACGAAGUUCGAACCGCGUCAGGUCCGGGAGGAAGCAGCGCUAAGAGCCAAGGGGUGUGCCUACAUACCCAUGAAGA